CAUAAAACGAUGAACAGGAAAAGUAAGUCAUUCCCUUUAACUAAAGAGAGCAAUCGGCAGCUGAAAAGAUUGUGUUAAAUAAUGAUUGAAAGACACCUGUGAGUGUUAUCCUGAAAAAAGUAGGGAUAGACGGUUUGCAACCGUUAAUAAGCUUUGAGGUGGCUGUGUACGCAGCAAUUAGGGUGGUACCGCGAGAUAAGCUCUCGUCCCUGAC
rnacentral:ncRNA from 1 species